rnacentral:rRNA from 1 species
CGCGCCUGCUGCGCCCCGUAGGGCCCCCCGUGCCCCCGCCCCGCCCGCCGCGCGCGGCGGGCGGGGGGGGGGCACGGGGGGCCCUACGGGGCGCAGCAGGCGCGAAAACUUUACAAUGCGGGAAACCGUGAUAAGGGAACUCCGAGUGUCCGUAAAUGCGGACUGUCCGUAUGUUUAAAAAGCAUGCGAAGAAAGGGCCGGGCAAGACCGGUGCCAGCCGCCGCGGUAAUACCGGCGGCUCGAGUGGUGGCCACUAUUACUGGGCUUAAAGCGUUCGUAGCUGGGUUGUUAAGUCUCUUGGGAAAUCUACCGGCUUAACCGAUAGGCGUCCAAGGGAUACU